UUUCAUAGUUAUCAUCGUAUCCUUUCUUUAUGCCAUUAGACACCAAGGAAGAAAGUCUACAAGAAAACAUAUGGCAAAUAAAAAUCAGUGCAUGGAAACACAAAAGGGUCUUCCUCCUGCUCUCUGUCUGAAUUCAGAUGUGCUGACCUCUGUUUUAUACCGUGCUUAACAGUCGUUAUUGUUGUAAAGAGCACAUUAGCGACUGUAAUACUUCAGAAAUUCAGUUCAUAUAUUGUAGUUUGCUUUGAAAUAGUAAUAUG